AGUCAGUCAGUCAGUUGUCACUGAAAACAGGAUGGAGCUCCGUCCACUCUCUGUGAUUCUCUUGCUGAUUGUGCUCAUCCACUGUGGACAAACUAAAGAAAAACUCAAACCAGCAGUGAGGGUGGAGCCUCAGAGCACCGUCUACACUGGAGACACUGUUACUCUGAUCUGUGAACUGCAGACCUCACUCACUGGAUGGAAGUUUCUCUGGACUAAAGAUGCUCAGUCAGUACAUCUGAUUACUGAUGGAAACACCAACACAAUCAGUAUAACAGUGUCUAAUACAGGAACAGAAGAGUAUAAAUGUGUAGCACGCAGAGAAUUCUACACAGAUUACAGUG